GACGAACGCUGGCGGCGUGCUUAACACAUGCAAGUCGAACGGAAAGGCCCUGCUUUUGUGGGGUGCUCGAGUGGCGAACGGGGGAGUAACACGUGAGUAACCUGCCCUUGACUUUGGGAUAACUUCAGGAAACUGGGGCUAAUACCGGAUAGGAGCUCCUGCUGCAUGGUGGGGGUUGGAAAGUUUCGGCGGUUGGGGCUGGACUCGCGGCUUAUCAGCUUGUUGGUGAGGUAGUGGCUUACCAAGGCUUUGACGGGUAGCCGGCCUGAGAGGGUGACCGGCCACAUUGGGACUGCGGUACGGCCCAGACUCCUACGGGAGGCAGCAGUCGAGAAUAUUGCACAAUGGGCGGAAGCCUGAUGCAGCGACGCCGCGUGCGGGAUGACGGCCUUCGGGUUGUAAACCGCUUUCGCCUGUGACGAAGCGUGAGUGACGGUAAUGGGUAAAGAAGCACCGGCUAACUACGUG
rnacentral:rRNA from 1 species